CAUGGUCCUCCCGUAAGGGACAUCAGUACAGGUGGUGCAUGGCUGUCGUCAGCUCGUGUCGUGAGAUUGUUGGGUUAAGUCCCGCAACGAGCGCAACCCUUUAUUCUUAGUUGUUUUCCCUUUGGGAUUACCCUCUAAGAAGACUGCCUCGGAUAACGGGGAGGAAGGUGGGAUGACGUCAAGUCCGCAUGCUCCUUACGUCUAGGGCUACACGCGUCCUACAAUGGGGUCGACAAUGGGAUGCAAUAUCGCAAGAUGGAGCCAAUCCCCAAACGGCCUCUCAGUUCGGAUUGUAGUCUGCAACUCGACUACAUGAAGUUGGAAUCGCUAGUAAUGGCAGAUCAGCAUGCUGCCGUGAAUACGUUCCCGGGUCUU
rnacentral:rRNA from 1 species